AUACGGAAACCCAGAUAAA
rnacentral:snRNA from 1 species